CCUACGGGGUGCUGCAGUGGGGAAUAUUGGACAAUGGGCGAAAGCCUGAUCCAGCCAUGCCGCGUGUGUGAAGAAGGCCUUCGGGUUGUAAAGCACUUUCAGUGGGGAAGAAAGCCUUGGGGCUAAUACCCUCGAGGAAGGACAUCACCCACAGAAGAAGCACCGGCUAACUCCGUGCCAGCAGCCGCGGUAAUACGGAGGGUGCGAGCGUUAAUCGGAAUUACUGGGCGUAAAGCGCGCGUAGGCGGUCUGAUAAGCCGGUUGUGAAAGCCCCGGGCUCAACCUGGGAACGGCAUCCGGAACUGUCAGGCUAGAGUGCAGGAGAGGAAGGUAGAAUUCCCGGUGUAGCGGUGAAAUGCGUAGAGAUCGGGAGGAAUACCAGUGGCGAAGGCGGCCUUCUGGACUGACACUGACGCUGAGGUGCGAAAGCGUGGGUAGCAAACAGGAUUAGAUACCCUGUAGUC
rnacentral:rRNA from 1 species